rnacentral:rRNA from 1 species
CCGCACGGGUGAGUAACACGUAUGCAACCUGCCCUCUUCAGGGGGACAACCUUCCGAAAGGGAGGCUAAUCCCGCGUAUAUCGGUUUCGGGCAUCCGAGAUCGAGGAAAGAUUCAUCGGAAGAGGAUGGGCAUGCGGCGCAUUAGCUAGACGGCGGGGUAACGGCCCACCGUGGCGACGAUGCGUAGGGGUUCUGAGAGGAAGGUCCCCCACACUGGUACUGAGACACGGACCAGACUCCUACGGGAGGCAGCAG